CCUACGGGAGGCAGCAGUGGGGAAUAUUGGACAAUGGGGGCAACCCUGAUCCAGCCAUGCCGCGUGUGUGAAGAAGGCCCUCGGGUUGUAAAGCACUUUCAGUGAGGAAGAACGCCUGGUGGUUAAUACCCAUCAGGAAAGACAUCACUCACAGAAGAAGCACCGGCUAACUCCGUGCCAGCAGCCGCGGUAAUACGGAGGGUGCGAGCGUUAAUCGGAAUUACUGGGCGUAAAGCGCGCGUAGGUGGCUUGAUAAGCCGGUUGUGAAAGCCCCGGGCUCAACCUGGGAACUGCAUCCGGAACUGUCAAGCUAGAGUGCAGGAGAGGAAGGUAGAAUUCCCGGUGUAGCGGUGAAAUGCGUAGAGAUCGGGAGGAAUACCAGUGGCGAAGGCGGCCUUCUGGACUGACACUGACACUGAGGUGCGAAAGCGUGGGUAGCAAACAGGAUUAGAUACCCCAGUAGUC
rnacentral:rRNA from 1 species